rnacentral:lncRNA from 1 species
UCCACGUAAUGAACAUACCAUCAACUUCACCACCAACUCAUCAUACCACUAAUACACUCAACAUAAUAAAAAUAAAAGCUAAAUAGAAAAAAUAGCUCAUACACGAUCUCUAUAACGACAUAAAUCUAUUAUGAUUUUAGAGUUGGUUGUCAAAAUGGAGCCAAGCAUUACAAAGAAAGAGCACUUCACUAGUUGCAAUAUACAUAGAAAAGGAAAAAAAACACCAUCCACAUGAUGAACAUAUCAUCACAUCGAUUUUGUUAUACCUACAAAUCCACUAUCCCAUUAUAAAAAUUUACAAUAAAACUAACACUCAAUACAAUAAAAUAAUUACUAAAUAAGAAAAAUAAAUCGUCCACGAAUAUCACAACUUACAUCUAUAAUCAUUCUUCUAGGUAGUUGUCAAAAUUAACCAAAGCCAACCAUCACAAGCAAACAGUUGAAGCAGAAAGAAAAGCUAAUAAUAAA